UACGAAGGGAGCUAGCGUUGUUCGGAAUCACUGGGCGUAAGGCGCACGUAGGCGGAUUUGUCAGUCAGGGGUGAAAUCCCGGGGCUCAACCUCGGAACUGCCUUUGAUACAGCAAGUCUUGAGUUCGAGAGAGGUGGGUGGAAUUCCUAGUGUAGAGGUGAAAUUCGUAGAUAUUAGGAAGAACACCGGUGGCGAAGGCGGCCCACUGGCUCGAUACUGACGCUGAGGUGCGAAAGCGUGGGGAGCAAACAGG
rnacentral:rRNA from 1 species